AUAACGGUCAGCAGGGAGCCGAUGUGCCAGCCAAUGCCUGAAGAGGGCAGAUGAGGUGGACUGCUGUGAUGCCCCCAGCUGAUUAAUUUCCAGUUGCUUGACCAUGUUUCCUUGCAGUAUCUCCCCCUGGGAAGAUGCUGCCACCAUCCAACUGGACUGAAAGCCUGAGACCAGAAGAAACCCUCUCAGCCACUCCUUGCCUUCACAGUUGAGACAGCAGUCUAUGCCCAUCACCCGCCCCCCUUCCCCAGCAAUAAAAGCCACUUCUGCAUC